rnacentral:rRNA from 1 species
AGAGGGGGCAAGCGUUGCUCGGAAUUACUGGGCGUAAAGGGCGCGUAGGCGGGAUGGCAAGUCGGUCGUGAAAUCCUUCGGCUCAACCGAAGAACGUCGAUCGAUACUGCUGUUCUUGAGGGUUGCAGAGGAGACUGGAAUUCCCGGUGUAGCGGUGAAAUGUGUAGAGAUCGGGAGGAACACCGGUGGCGAAGGCGGGUCUCUGGGCAAUUCCUGACGCUGAGGCGCGAAAGCGUGGGGAGCAAACGGGAUUAGAUACCCCGGUAGUCCACGCUGUAAACGAUGGANGANUAGGUGUGGGGGGGUUCAGUCCCCUCCGUGCCGCAGCUAACGCAUUAAGUCGUCCGCCUGGGGAGUACGGCCGCAAGGUUG